CAGUAAUGGCGGCCCCCAUGUAAUAUUUACGAUGGUGAUUUGUGGCAGUAUUCCAAUGGAUAUACACUAAUAGAGCCAAAGAAAAAAGAUUUUUAAAGAAAGAAUGCAGAUAGACAGGUGGUGGACAAGCUGAAGUGGAACUGUCAGAGGCAGAGGGGGUGUGUCUAGAGACAAGAUGGAAGACCAAGCAUUUCAUGCCUAGAAGCAGGCUUUGAAAGUGGAGGUAUAAGGGAGAAAAGAACCAUGCUGACUCUGUAAUAGUAAAGUCAGCAGAGAAGAGGAAGAUUGAUGAGAGGAUAAGAACAUCUUGGUAGACACAAAAAGAAUUAGGCUUGAAGAAAAGAAAAUUAGACUUAAAAAUAUAGUUAUUCUUCCUGGGUAUCUUAUCCCAAAGUACUCAUGUAAAGAUACAAUAUGAUACAAAAACCAAAAGGUUUUGACAAUUUAAUAAGAGGGAAAAUAUUUUUUUUUGCUGAAUUUGUAUCUCAGAGAAUCCUAAGAGCUUUCAAAGACUGUUUGAUUGGCAAUUGUUUGGAAAAUUAUAUUUUAAUAUUUUUAUACAUGUAUUUUUUAGGACUGAAGUUAAUCUUAAUUAAGUUCAGUUACUGCAAAAAUUUUCCUAAGCUUUUGAUUGCUAUAAAAUGCUGUUUAUAUUCAUUAAUCUGUUGUAAUUUUGAGAAGCAGAAAAGGAGAUAGCUCAGGGUUUAAACUUAACUUAUAUUAUUUUCCGUAGAGCUACAUUUCUGCAGCUAAAAAGGAGAUACACAUUUUUUUUUUUCAAAUGCCACCCUUACACCAAAAUUUUUUUCCUGUAAAUUUACUUGACCUUAACUUAAGGUACAUGUAUUUCAAAAUAUACUCAACAAAGAAGAAAGUUAUUUUUAGAGUGUGUUGUGAUAAAAUUUCAAUCAUUCCUAUGUUGCAAAUUGAAAAAUUAAGUUGAUGUCAUUUUCAUCGCCCCCAAAUUCAAGGGGCAUAACAAUAUGUACUGUGUGACGUCUCAAUGCUAGUGAGUUUUUUUUUCUCAAAUCAAUUUUUUUUGAAACUUUAAAUUUUGCUCUAGUAUACAUGGUAUACAAAAUGUCAUUGGAAUGUAAUUCACCCAAUUUAUUUGUUUAUUUGUUUGUUAAUUAUUUUACUUAUCUUGGUCCCACUCUGACGUAUACAGGUAAUAAUUUUCAUAAAGCUCGAUUAAAAUUGGAUAUUCAGGGGAGGAAUAUAUGUUUAAACUAUGUUAAAUUAUGCUGAAAGUGGGGAAAAAUAACUCAUCAUUGAUGAUCUAUCAUGAACUCUGUUGCUUACCUCUUUUUAUUCAGUAUUAUAAAGUUUUAAUUGAAAUUAUUGGAGUCAGAAAAUUGUAUAUCAUGGUAUAUUGAAAAGUAUUUACCAAGAUAUGUUUGACAAAUUGAGACAAGUUCUUGUACAAAAUAUAAUUGGUUACUGAAUGCAAAAUACUUUUUAAAAGUGUUUAAAAUAUUGU